rnacentral:rRNA from 1 species
UACGAAGGGGGGCUAGCGUUGCUCGGAAUCACUGGGCGUAAAGCGCACGUAGGCGGAUUGUUAAGUCAGGGGUGAAAUCCUGGAGCUCAACUCCAGAACUGCCUUUGAUACUGGCGAUCUCGAGUCCGGGGAGAGGUGAGUGGAACUGCGAGUGUAGAGGGUGAAAUUCGUAGAUAUUCGCAAGAACACCAGUGGCGAAGGCGGCUCACUGGCCCGGUACUGACGCUGAGGUGCGAAAGCGUGGGGAGCAAACAGG